CACACAUCUGCCAAAAGGGCAUCGUUGCGGUGUCGAUUCGCUACUCCAAAUAAGAAAAGUCGUCUCCGUUGGUCAAGAAAAGUAGCAGUAUAAAACGAGAUGUGUCUAUCCUGGGGUGUCCUACUGGCUGCUUGUUUGGCCCUCCUGACCGCGGAGACCCAGCGACCGGUGCACGCUCAGGGCGUGGAGGUCAACGGCAAGAUCUGUACUCGGACGGUGCUGCCAGCGUACUUGAGGGCGCCUUGCGACGAGUACCAUCGCACUCAGCAGGGAAUGCCCGAGCUUGAAUCUGCACCAAGGCGACCACCCAGUGAUCCACUCCGCAUCCGCGGCUGAAACAAGCCAUCACGCCCGGGACAGACCACAGCUGAAUAUGACAGUCAACGAUACCUGUCGGAGUCUGCACUCUGUCCUUGGGUUACGCGAUAUUCUGCACGUCAAGCUUAACAGUAAACAAGCUUUUAAAAUGUAACAAACAACAGACAAACAAACUUCCGAAGUCGUAGUAAGGUAUAAUUAUUUUAUAAAGCAAGUUUUAUAAAGCAAUCAAAUUUGUACUUCAAACUGGAACAACAUUUUGAAAGUUCCCGUCUGAAUUUUCGGUAAAAAGGUUUUGCAAGAUAUCUAACUGUUGAGGUCUUUAUAUUAAACUUUUGCAGGAUUCAAAGCACUCUCGGAGGCAACUAAUAUCUUAUGAAUAAAAAACAGCCUUGGCAGCCGGUAAUUGUUUUAAAAACUUUACCCUCUAAAUCCUACAGAUUAAAAACUAGGGACUGGACGAUUUAAGGUGGAAAUUACUCUGAAUUUAGAUUUAAAAAGUUGAGCAAAGAACACCUUCCAUUAGAAACUGAAGUGAAAUAUCAAGGUGUUUGUUUUAUUAACCCGAAAUCGUCUUGUCCCUAGUUUCAAUCAGAGGGAGCGAAUUUCGUUACUCAUCAGAAUCUAGAGAGUAAAGGUCAGUGUGUAUAAAUAUAUGUACAGGAAUGUUGAAGCAAAUAUGAUUAGAAUCGAAUGGAUUUAAAAAAUCUUUGUUUUGGAAGCAGAAUAUAUUUCUGCACUAGACAUCUUUUGUUAUAUUAUCCUUUUUUUAACUAAGAUUCAUCGUUCUCUCGUCGGCUUCGGGCCACCAAAAUGGCACACAUUAAACUUUCUCCUCGUAAUUGGUUUCUGAGCAAUGGCCUUUAAGAGUGAAACCUAGAAAUACUUGUCGGAAAGUUAAGAAGUAAACUGUUGACUGGGGAAAACGAGCUUAUAAUUGGGAAUGACAUUGCUACAUAAGAAGCAGAAUCAUUGCUUCUAACGACUUUUAUAGUAGAGGGUUUACCCUCAAGAAGAAGUUGUGGAAGCCAUUUUGUUUAACUUUUCAUUCAAAUGACGUAACACAGCGCCCAAGGAGGGGUCUUGGGGGCCAACGGGGGCCAUGCCCCCCCCCCCAAAAAAAAAACCUAUGAAUUUUUCCUUAUCAAAGUGAAGAUGUCAAGUGUCUUAAUUGGAGGUUGUUUUGAAAAGAAAGGGCCAUUUUGUUCAGGGAAUCGUUUCUGAGCAGCUGCUGAAUCGUGACUGGUGCGAUCAGUUAAUGCGAAAGCGCAUCAGUGACGCUGCAUAUUUGUCCCACCCCCAAACAAAGAGUAUGGACCCACCCAUGACAGCGUCCUUUGCCGUGACGUCUUACCAGUUGUCGUCGGUCAUUAUGACCGAAUGGAAACCAUAGGCAGCGUCCAUGCAUGCUACCGGGGAUGUGGCUGAGCGCAUAGUCGUCAAUGAGAGGCCCCAUGGUCUCGUAUAGCAUGGACCUCUUGCAAACCUGGACUCUGCCGUCCAUGCACGAAGUUCAUCCAUUCGGACCAGGAUGAAAUUUGACUGCCGAACAAAUAAUUCCCACACACUUUUGCUACUGCACUUGCUGUGUUUAAAAGCGGCUCGUUAUCUUGCAAUUCACCCCUUGUCUCUUUUUGGCGUCUCUAAUGAGUCGCUAGUUAUAACAACACACCAGUGCAUAACUGAUUUAGCCCCCUUGACCAGCCCCCUUGGCGACCAGCUGCACCUCCGAUGAAAACCAUAUUCAUGUACCCACCCCCCAUGCCCGAUGCUGGUGACGGGGCUGACGGGACAUUGUGCUUAAUAAUCAAGGCCGUUUAUUUGCUAAGCAAGACCAAUUCCAAUGUGAAGUGUGUAUAAUGAUAGAUACUGAGAUAAUUGAAGUGUUUAAUGCCAAUCCCUGCUCCGAUCUUACUGUGACAAAAUAAUGGCAUGAUUUGGAGGCCGUGUUUAACUUCUAGGGCCGUGUUUUACUUCUAGUAAGUCAACACUGUCCCUAGUCCAAAUGUGAGGAUGCACUUACGUGCACCUCAGUUGUAAUUGAUACCUAAUUGGCCUUGGAGAAGUCGUUAUUUCUCCACAAAUAAUGAAAUUUUCAACAAACCCUUGGCUGCUCGUACAGAAAAUGCAUUUGAACCUGGAAAUUUACGAUCAAGGCAACACAGAAUUAUUCGACGAUUAGCAUGCACAAUUGCGACCGAAGAGGAAGGAUUGCUGCAACACAAUGUUAACAUUGUUCUUAAACAACUGCAAAGCUUCAAAGCAAAAAAAGAAAGUUUGAGAACACAGUCUGAUGGCCUGCUUUGUAAUUUGUUAGUCUUUUUUCUGAAUUGCGCAGUGAAAAAUCAAUCAUGAAAUAGAUUAACCCGCUACCCUUUUUGACCUAACCACUGUUACGAGGCCAUUAUGCAUAAAUAUCUAAUCUGAUUAGUGAGAUAAUUCCAGCUGGGUAGUGUACAUGCGUCCACAUCUUAUCUCAUUUUUAACCAUAGGCGUACACUGAACAUGUCACCUUUGUACCCAAAUUUUGUGCUUUAAUUACUGUUCAUACAAAUGGACGGAUGGUAAAAGAAAGCCAUAUUGAAUUAAACAUCCAACAUUGUGGAAUCGA